GAAAGGAAAGGAAAGGAAAGGAAAGGAAAGGAAAGGAAAGGAAAGGUCAUCACAUUCCCUUCUAAUGAUUCAACGGGGAAGCUGCAAGCUGGGGAAAGCAGCCUGGAGCCAGGAAUGCAGCAAUUAAGCUCACUGCAGGAGGGUACAAGAAGCUGGAGAAGCGCAGAAACUAGAAACCUGAAAAACAAAAACAGAAAUAGUUACGUGUGGAGGAAACAGCUGGAGACUGAAUGAACCAGCACCAGCAACCACAUUUAAUAAAAGCAGCAGGAAGA